AGUGAACGCUGGCGGUAGGCCUAACACAUGCAAGUCGAACGGCAGCACAGUAAGAGCUUGCUCUUACGGGUGGCGAGUGGCGGACGGGUGAGGAAUACAUCGGAAUCUACUUUUUCGUGGGGGAUAACGUAGGGAAACUUACGCUAAUACCGCAUACGACCUACGGGUGAAAGCAGGGGAUCUUCGGACCUUGCGCGAUUGAAUGAGCCGAUUUCGGAUUAGCUAGUUGGCGGGGUAAAGGCCCACCAAGGCGACGAUCCGUAGCUGAUCUGAGAGGAUAAUCAGCCACACUGGAACUGAGACACGGUCCAGACUCCUACGGGAGGCAGCAGUGGGGAAUAUUGGACAAUGGGCGCAAGCCUGAUCCAGCCAUACCGCGUGGGUGAAGAAGGCCUUCGGGUUGUAAAGCCCUUUUGUUGGGAAAGAAAAGCAGCAGGUUAAUACCCCGCUGUUCUGACGGUACCCAAAGAAUAAGCACCGGCUAACUUCGUG
rnacentral:rRNA from 1 species